rfam:Oryza rufipogon genomic scaffold, chr03
AAAAAGACAAAUCCUAGGUUUCCGUGUCCAACGUUUAACUGUUUGUCUUAUAUGAAAUUAUUUUAUAAUUAGUAUUUUUAUUGUUGUUAGAUGAUAAAACAUGAUUAAUACUUUAUGUGUGACUUGUUUUUUUAAUUUUUUUCAUAUAAGACGGACGGUCAAACGUUGGAUAUGGAAACCUAAGUUUGUCUUUUUU